CUCUUUCCACGCGAGUUUCUAGAUUCCGUGAUUCCGUCCAGUCGUCGCCACACUCUCCGACAGCCCAAAGCAAGCGUCCCGGCGGCUGGCGACCCUCUGCUCCGGCGACUUGGUUCCCGCCGCCCCGACUCUGCCCCAAGCGAGCGCCGCGCACGUGUCGCCUUUGCUUCCUCUCCUCCUUGCUCCGGUCCCGCGCCGCCGCUUUCUGUCAUCGUGCUGAGCUCCAGCGACGCGCCGAAGGGAUCUGGGAACUUCGAGGAUGCUUUGCUGUGCUGGACACCUGGCGCCCCUUCUCCUCUUAGCACUUUUCUCUGUCUCAUCCCUUCUGUUUGUCGACGGAUCCCAUCAAGACCAGGAAUUCCGUGAAGCUGUUGGAUCCAGAAUUCUUCUUCAAACAAAUCCAGAUGCACAUGAGGUGCAUUGCUCAAGGGAAAGGAGCCGUGCAGCUUGGGAAGCUAUUGAUGAGUAUUUGAUGCCCUUCGUGGAAAAAGAGAAAUAUGAGCUCCCAAGCAAAUGUAGACUUCGUCCUGAUAAUGACAUGUUUCGGGAGCAAGAGCAACAUAAGAUCCAUUUUGAUAUUAAUGAGUGGCAUUGUGGCUUUUGCAAGAAAGCUUUCCGAGCAGAGAAGUUCCUUGAUCAACAUUUUGAAAAUCGGCACAAGAAUCUUGUGGAUAAUAGCGAAGGAAGAUGCAUGGCAGAUCUAUGCGGAGCACUCCACUGCGAUCUGAUGAUGCAGUUCAAGAAACCAAAAAGUAAAUGCAAUGCCGCUGCAGCUACAAGGAAUCGUCAUCUUUGUGAGAGCCUUGCCGACAGUUGCUUUCCUGUUAAUCAAGGUCUUGCUGCCAGCCGUCUUCAUGAAUUCUUCUUGCGCCAAUUUUGUGAUGCGCACACUUGCAAUAAGGGAACUAAACCUUUCCCCAAAGGUGGCAGGAAACAAACAAACAGGUUUUACUUGGCUCUCUGCAUCUUGACCCUCAUACUUUUGCCCCUGUUCUACCUCAUUGUGUUCCUGCACCAGAGGGAAAUGAGGAAAGGCACCCAAGAUCUAAAACGGUUUUCAAAAAUUGGGCAGAAGAAAAAGCCAUCCUAGUUCGAGGGUACAUGUAGAAAAGCUGCGCGUGUCAGUUUGACAUGGAUAAAUCCAGGAUCCUGGUGGUCUAAAUCCAGCACAGACGACUGAAUUGUAAAUUCCCUAUAUUUGGUGCUCAUGUCGUGCAUGUCCCCUGCAGUCCAACAGUCACAAUUCCUAGGUCCAUGGGGCCAAGGAGCUGGAUAUGGAACGUGGUAUACUACUUGUGAAAUGUUUUUUUAUAGGCGGGAAGAUUUUUCCCUCAUUUCCAGAACAGGAACAGUGCUGGCUUCGACCUUUUUUUUUUUGUGUUGUUUCAACGUGUAGAUGCAAGCUUCAAGAGGCAAGCAUGUGCAGUUUUUGUGAGCUUACGGCGAUAUUCUUUAUCGUCAACCAUAACUGAAGUCCUGUUGAUAGUUCACCCACUGAACCACGGGUUUACAUGAUUUUAUAUAUACAAUCUUAGGAGGUAAAACGGUGUCGAAUGAUGAAUCUGUAAGUUGUAAUACAUUUUCGUACGACACUUAAAAAAGUAUACCCAAUCGCUUUUGCCA